AGUGAACGCUGGCGGUAGGCCUAACACAUGCAAGUCGAACGGCAGCACAGUAAGAGCUUGCUCUUACGGUUUGCGAGUGGCGUACGUGUGAGUAAUACAUCGUAAUCUACUUUUUCUUGUGUGAUAACGUAGGUAAACUUACGCUAAUACCUCAUACGUCCUACGGUUGAAAUCAUUGGUUCUUCUGACCUUUCGCGUUUGAUUGAGCCGAUUUCGGAUUAGCUAGUUGGCGGGGUAAAGUCCCACCAAGGCGACGAUCCGUAGAUGGUCUGAGAGGAUGAUCAGCAAAACUGGAACUGAGACACGGAACAGACUACUACGGGAGGCAGCAGUGGGGAAUAUUGGACAAUGGGCGAAAGCAUGAUACAGCAAUACCGCGUGGGUGAAGAAGGACUUAGGGUUGUAAAGACAUUUUGUUGGGAAAGAAAAGAAGCAGGUUAAUAAAAAGAUGUUAUGACGGUACCAAAAGAAUAAGCACCGGCUAACUUCGUG
rnacentral:rRNA from 1 species